rnacentral:tRNA from 2 species
GGGCUCGUGGCUUAGCCUGGAUAUAGCACUGGCCUUCUAAGUCAGUGGUCUCGGGUUCGAAUCCCGACGAGCCCGCCA